rnacentral:lncRNA from 1 species
UUUUUUUUUUGCUUUUUAAAAUGAAUUCUACCAAAUACAUCAUAACCUAAAAAAUGUAGGAUUGGGUUUGCCUGGUGAACAAAAUAGGUAUCACAUUAUAUUUCUUCCCUGGCCUGUACGUUUUACUCAACAUUGUUUCUGAGACAUCCAUGUGGUUAGCAAAACUGUCGUUCCUUAUUUUCAUCUCUGUGUUACAGUCCCCUGUGCGUCUCUACCGAGUUCUAUUCAUGUUUUCUCCUGCCCACAGAUAUUUGGGUUGUCUUUAUUUCUUUUUCUAAAACAAGCCUUCCUGCUAUGAACAUUCUCCUAUUUCAUAUUACGCAGGUGCUAAUGUUUCCUUUGGGUAUAUAUCUAGCUGUGGUUUUUAAAGCAUGAACAGUUUUACAAGAUAAUGAAGCAUUAUUUUCCAAAGUGGUUAGUUAUAUUAAUUUACUCGUCAACCAGCAAUGUGAUCACAUUGAUUCCCAUUCCCUUCAAACUUGAUGUGUUAGACUUCUUAACUAGUAUUGGUAAUUGUAAAAUAGUAGCUCUGUGUGCUUUUCAUGUACUUUUCCCUGACAAUGAGGUUGAGCAGUGCUUCAUGUUAAUUUGCUCUAUUUCCUUUUUUGUGAAAUGCCUAUUUAAAUCUUUUGUGCAGUUUUUUAAUUAGGCUAUUUUUCUUAUUUGUUUGUAGAAAUCUUUAUAUAUUCUGUAUGGUAAUUCUUUGUGUUGUAAGAAUGUCUCCCAUUUGUAGCUUUUAUUUUCUUCAUAGUAUCUUUUGAUGACAUGUUUUUAUGGCUCAUUUUAAUGUCUGAAUUUGUUAAUAUCAUCUUUUAUGAUGAGCAUAUUUCUAUCUGGUUUAGAAAAUUAUUCCUUAUCGUAAUAUCAGAAAGAUAUUCACUUACAUUUUCUUCUAAAAGUUAAAGUUUGGCUUAGAUAUUUAUUUAUUUAUUUAUUUUUGGUCUUUUUUUUUUUUUUCUUCUUCUUUUUAGAUCGACACCCAUGACACGUGGAGUUUCCCAGGCUAGGGGUCUAAUCAGAGCUGUAGCUGCCCGCCUACACCACAGCCACAGCAACUCGGAUCCGAGCCUUGUCUGCGACCUACACCACAGCUCAAGGCAAUGCCAGAUCCUUAACCUACUGAGCAAGGCCAGGAUGAAACCAGUGUUCUCAUGGACACUAGUCGGGUUUGUAAGCUGCUGCCACAAUGGAAACUCCCUAAUCAUUUAUUUUUAGAUUCUCUGGGGGAAUUUCGAUGUAGACAAUCAUAUCAUCUGCAAAUAAUGACAGUUCUUCCUUUCCUCAACAAAUUUCAAUAAAUUUAAACACUUUCAUCAAGUGUUUAAAUUUAUUUUUCUUGACUUACUGUGCUGUAUAGGGUCUCUAUAAAGUGCUAAACAGAAGUGAUAAGAGUAGGUACCUUUGCUUUUUUCCUGAUUUUCAAAAGAAAACUUCCAAUGUUUCCCUAUUUAGCAUGAUUUUUGUUGUAGUGGUUUUUAUUUAAGAUUGGAUUCUAAUGAAAUAUUUGAAGUCUCCCACAACAUUCAGUUUUCAUUUCAUUGUCCAGAACUUAGCCAUCGCAAUACUCAUUGCUAAAAGGGAGUUGGGAAAUACAAUCUGUUAGCAGGGCAAAUGGAGUUCUGUUAAUUUGAGAUAGAAAGUUAGAAUGGAUAUUUGGUUGGUAAUGAGUUGGCCAUAUCUUCCAGGUGUUACCCAGAAACCAAGAUGGGCCAUGAGACUAGUGUCACUCAGAUAUCUUGCUAGAUUUAAAAAUAUCCUAGGCCUUUAUGUGAAAUUAUAAAAACAAAUAAUAACAUUACAAAAAAGCUGGAAGGUACUUCCUUAACCCUCAACCUCACAUACUC